UAUUGGUCAAUGGACGCGAGUCUGAACCAGCCAAGUAGCGUGAAGGAUGACUGCCCUAUGGGUUGUAAACUUCUUUUAUAUGGGAAUAAAGUUUUCCACGUGUGGAAUUUUGUAUGUAUCAUAUGAAUAAGGAUCGGCUAACCGCGUGCGAGCAGCCGCGGUAAUACGGAGGAUCAGAGCGUUAUACGGAUUUACUGGGGUUAAAGGGAGCGUAGGUGGACAGUUAAGUCAGUUGUGAAAGUUUGCGGCUCAACCGUAAAAUUGCAGUUGAUACUGGCUGUCUUGAGUACAGUAGAGGUGGGCGGAAUUCGUGGUGUAGCGGUGAAAUGCUUAGAUAUCACGAAGAACUCCGAUUGCGAAGGCAGCUCACUGGACUGUUGACUGACACUGAGGCUCGAAAGUGUGGGUAUCAAACA
rnacentral:rRNA from 1 species